rnacentral:rRNA from 1 species
AUACGGAGGAUCCGAGCGUUAUCCGGAUUUAUUGGGUUUAAAGGGAGCGUAGGCGGAUUAUUAAGUCAGUUGUGAAAGUUUGCGGCUCAACCGUAAAAUUGCAGUUGAUACUGGUAGUCUUGAGUGCAGCAGAGGUAGGCGGAAUUCGUGGUGUAGCGGUGAAAUGCUUAGAUAUCACGAAGAACUCCGAUUGCGAAGGCAGCUUACUGGACUGUAACUGACGCUGAUGCUCGAAAGUGUGGGUAUCAAACAGGAUUAGAUACCCUGGUAGUCCACACGGUAAACGAUGAAUACUUGUUUUCGGCGAUAUAAUGUCGGAGGCAAAGCGAAAGCGAUAAGUAUUCCACCUGGGGAGUACGCCGGCAACGGUGAAACUCAAAUGAAUUGACGGGG